AUUGAACGCUGGCGGCAGGCCUAACACAUGCAAGUCGAACGAGUGGCGGACGGGUGAGUCACGUCUGUGAAAUUGCCUGAUGGAGGGGGUUAAUUACUGGAAACGGUAGCCACAACCGAAUACCUUCGGCUGUGCCCAGAUGGGAUUAUCUAGUAGGUGGGGUAAAGGCUCACAAAGGCGACGAUCCCUAGCUGGUCUCAGAGGAUGAACAGCCACACUGGAACUGAGACACGGUCCAGACUCCUACGGGAGGCAGCAGUGGGGAAUAUUGCACAAUGGGCGAAAGCCUGAUGCAGCCAUGCCGCGUGAAUGAAGAAGGCCUUCGGAUUGUAAAGUACUGUCAGUGGGGAGGCGGUACCCGCAGAAAAAGCACCGGCUAACUCCGUGCCAGCAGCCGCGGUAAUUC
rnacentral:rRNA from 1 species